CCUACGGGAGGCUGCAGUGGGGAAUAUUGGACAAUGGGGGCAACCCUGAUCCAGCCAUGCCGCGUGUGUGAAGAAGGCCCUCGGGUUGUAAAGCACUUUCAGUGAGGAAGAACGCCUGGUGGUUAAUACCCAUCAGGAAAGACAUCACUCACAGAAGAAGCACCGGCUAACUCCGUGCCAGCAGCCGCGGUAAUACGGAGGGUGCGAGCGUUAAUCAGAAUUACUGGGCGUAAAGCGCGCGUAGGUGGCUUGAUAAGCCGGUUGUGAAAGCCCCGGGCUCAACCUGGGAACGGCAUCCGGAACUGUCAAGCUAGAGUGCAGGAGAGGAAGGUAGAAUUCCCGGUGUAGCGGUGAAAUGCGUAGAGAUCGGGAGGAAUACCAGUGGCGAAGGCGGCCUUCUGGACUGACACUGACACUGAGGUGCGAAAGCGUGGGUAGCAAACAGGAUUAGAUACCCGUGUAGUC
rnacentral:rRNA from 1 species